rnacentral:rRNA from 1 species
UACGGGAGGCAGCAGUGGGGAAUAUUGCACAAUGGGCGCAAGCCUGAUGCAGCCAUGCCGCGUGUAUGAAAAAGGCCUUCGGGUUGUAAAGUACUUUCAGUCGUGAGGAAGGUGUUAAGGUUAAUAACCUUAGCAAUUGACGUUAGCGACAGAAGAAGCACCGGCUAACUCCGUGCCAGCAGCCGCGGUAAUACGGAGGGUGCGAGCGUUAAUCGGAAUUACUGGGCGUAAAGGGCACGCAGGCGGUUAAUUAAGUUGGAUGUGAAAUCCCCGGGCUUAACCUGGGAAUGGCAUUCAAGACUGGUUAGCUAGAGUCUUGUAGAGGGGGUUAGAAUUCCAUGUGUAGCGGUGAAAUGCGUAGAGAUGUGGAGGAUACCGGUGGCGAAGGCGGCCCCUGGACAAAGACUGACGCUCAUGUGCGAAAGCUGGGGAGCAAACGAGGAUUAGAUACCCG